GAUGAACGCUAGCGGCAGGCCUAACACAUGCAAGUCGAGGGGUAGAGGAAGCUUGCUUCCUUGAGACCGGCGCACGGGUGCGUAACGCGUAUGCAAUCUACCUUUUACAGAGGGAUAGCCCAGAGAAAUUUGGAUUAAAACCUCAUAGUAUUUUCGAACGGCAUCAUUUGAUUAUUAAGGUUCCAACGGUAAAAGAUGAGCAUGCGUCCUAUUAGCUAGAUGGUAAGGUAACGGCUUACCAUGGCAACGUUAGGUAGGGGUCCUGAGAGGGAGAUCCACCACACUGGUACUGAGACACGGACCAGACUCCUACGGGAGGCAGCAGUGAGGAAUAUUGGACAAUGGGCGCAAGCCUGAUCCAGCCAUGCCGCGUGCAGGAAGACGCAUCUAUGGUGUGUAAACUGCUUUUGUACGGGAAGAAACACUCCCUCGUGAGGGAGCUUGACGGUACCGUAAGAAUAAGGAUCGGCUAACUCCGUGCCAGCCGCCGCCGUAACAC
rnacentral:rRNA from 1 species